UCUGCAAUGUAUGGCUUUGGCAUUGCAGGAAAAUGAAAAGUUUUUAUUUCAGCUGUUCCAGGUAGGCUCCCUACUGGACAACGCUUCGCGUGUCCCGGGACUGAUCUUCACUGGAGCUGUGAACAUUCAAUGAGGAGAAUUUAUGUUUAUACCAAAGCCUCAGAUUCAGUGACUGGCGAUACAAUGCACAAAACCACAGGGAAAUGUUCAAAAGAAGUUAGUUAUAGCAGUUUCAUACCAGAUAAACUUAUUAAAAAAAAAAAAAAGGCAUUUGCUGUUUAGUUCUAGCAUCUAUGUAAGUGUCUAUUUUAACUAUUGUCCCAGAUUACUCAGCUUUAUACUUAGUUUUGCAAAUAGUCUAUGUCAGGCCGAGUUAAGACAGAGUAAGACCAAUUCAGAUGACUAUGGAAAUGAAGAUUGCAUACUGAUAAAUGCCAGAAUGACUGCGCUUCAGUAAUCCCCGCCAGAGCAAUCAUGGAUGUUAAUACUAUUUCUGGAUUGCGCUAUUUUCUUUGAGCCGUUGAAAUGGAAACCAUUUGAUCUAGAAUUGUUGCACUGAAAAAAAAAAAAAAAGCUUUUGUGGGCGAGGAUCUACAUAUUUGUAAAGAAGUGAUUGUGACAUAUACACAGCAAUCUGAAAUACUUCUGACUGCGCAGUGCAUCCGCAAUUGGUCGUGUAACAAAAGCACGCGACAAUGCUGUUAUCAUUGUUUCUAUUGUCUUUCACUUCCCACCGAUGUCUUUUUGUCAGCUUGAUACAUUUUUGGUUCUUUUCAGCUCUUGCUUUGUUUGCUUUGCUUCUGGAGCAAAACUCACCUAAUGAUGCCUUUUCUUAGGCUACACAGGUUUUGUUAGGCUGCACUGUCUAGCAAAACCGGAUCAGUCACUCGGCACACAAACUCGGAGCGAGAUCGGGGUCUGCUGUUUUAGCGAGACUUAUUGUGAGGAAGGGAGCUACGCGAUGCAGCUGUGUCGGACAACAUCAUCUAUGCUGUCUGAAGGUCACUACUGAUUAUUCCAAAUGGUCCCUUCGUAUCUUAGGAUUGGACUCUUCAGCGACUGGUUCAUUUUUUUUUUUUUUUUUCUAAUUAAAUGAAAAAACUCAAUGUAAAUCCAAAGAACCUCUUGCCUGAGAAGCAAAGAGCCAACUAUCAUUUUCAAGAGCUGAGAGAGCAGAAGCAACCAACUAGGUAGUCAGUAUCCCAGUAUGGCCCUAACGAGACCCACCUGUGCUAACGAAGCAGGUGCUGUGGGGCCGGGCUGCCGGGGCACAGCUGUGCCUUGUUGGGAGCCCUGGGCAGGGCCUGCCUCAAAGCCUUUUAAACCCUCACUGGAGGCUCCUGAGAGCUAUAGGGGGAACUUUUGUGGUUCUCUGUGUCUACUGAGAGGCUGCUGGGCUCUCUACCUGCUUUUUUGUGGUUCUGGCUUAGAACUGCAGCUGGGUUCUCCUUUCUUUUGGGGGGGGGGGUCAUCAUGGUACUCUCAUCUGGUUUCUACUUCUUCUUGGUUUGGGGGGGGUUGGCUCAGGAUUGCUGCUUUAUUUCUUGAGGCAAAGCACAACUCUAAGGUUGUGGGUGCUGCAGUUCCUCCUACUCGCCUCAAUGGAGAGGCAAUCAGGAUGAGGCUGUGCCCUCAAGCCCAGCGCUGGUGCUGCUUAGUGUGAGAACUGCAGUGGCACCUUUUACAGCAAGGAUCAAUGGAAGCCCGUGAGCAGCUUCGCCGCCAGGGAAACUACGGAGGCUGAAGAAGACAUCCAUCCUGCUGCAAGCCUAGAUGCCCGAGGGGACAUCCUUGCCUGGAUGCUCCCUGCUUGGCCCUAACGAGGCCCAUCAGUGCUACUGAAGAAAUGACCUCCAGGUGCUGUGAGGCUGGGAUGGUCUGGGCGCAGCCGUACUCAGUCGGAGCCCGGGGCAGGACCCGGCCAAAGCUUUUUAGCCUCUGCCGGUUUCUCCCGGAGCUCCCUGUCGCUAGCAAGAAGCUGCCAGGCAGUUACCCUGCUUUUCAAGGCUUGCACAGGGACGGUGCUGCCAGGCUGCCAGGCCCUGACCUUGCUUUUUUUUUUUUUUUUUUUUUUUUUUUUUUUUGUUAGCCAGCAUGAGUUUGUCAUAAUAUUAUGGUUCUGCUUUUCCUUUUUUCUUUUUUUUUUUUUUUUCCCUUCCCUCCAGCUAGCGCACGUGGCUGCUUAUGUGCUCACAUCCUGCCUGCUUUGGAGCAGGACCUCUAGAAGCAAGGAUCAGCCCCGGAGAGGGCGCGAGACGGUGGCCGAUCCUCGCUGUGAGUAGUCUCCUUCACAAAGAGAAGGCAGGCGCCCGGGAACUGGAGCCACCCGGCCUCAGGGCUGCCGGCGCCGCCGUUGUCUUUCCGCAGGUUUGGGGCCAGCGGGAGGAUGCCGGUGGCGUUAAAGCGCAGAUGGACCCGGAGAGCGAGGCGAGCGCGGAGCGCCCUCGGGAUGGAGUCGUAAGCCGGGCGUCGGAAGACAGACUCGGCUCUUGCGGUCGGAGGCGCGCAGGUUGCGGUGCAGUCGACGACGUCGAGGAAGGCCACCAGCCCUGCCCUCGCGGAAGUCGUUGAAGAGCCGCGAGGCACGGGAGCGAGCAGGGAGCGACCGGCGGCCGCCCUGAAGGAGAGCCCAAGUACGGUAACGGGCGUCCCGCCCCAUCAGCGUCGCAGCGCCUCCGGUUGGACGAGGCUGUCAAGUAAGCGUUACGGUUUUGGUCUAUUUUUCCAGUGUUUUUCUUAAGCGAAGCAAUGUUAAAUGAAAGCUGUUUGUUUGGAAGCGGUGGAGGAAGGAGCGCCUUGUUUUAGUAAGGUGUCUUUGAGCAAGCACAAGAACGCCUCUGAAAGCAGAGUAAGUGCAGUUCCUCUGCUGUAAUUAUUGUAUGUAAGUUAGUUUUUCAUGGGAUUACCGGUAAGCUUCCCGCUAUUUCUGAAUGUAAGACUAUUAUUGGUUAGCUUAGAAUUACAGUUGAAGAAAAAUUGAUUUACUAGAAAACUAACUAAAAGUAUCUCCAACUAAAAGUAUCUUACCUGACUGUAAGAUGUGUCUUACCGUGGGCUGGUAAAGAGAAGGAAAUGGCCUUUCACCCUCUGCAAGUAAACUUCUUUUUAAAUUCGUGCCUGCGGGCGAUUAAAAAAAGGCAAGUAGCUGAGUUAAUGCUCCGGUUCUUUUCUUUACUGCGUUUUUUACUGCGUUCCCCAGAAGACUGUUUGCUGAUCUCUUAUUGUUUCUGCUCGAGGGGAGCGAGUCCUAUGCCUCUAGGACAGGAAAUACCCCAGACCCAGCCUGCGGUUUGGAAGCGGCUCGCUGCUGCUGCUCUGCCGGUUCCAGUGCCCCUCAGUCUCUCAAAAUGGCCUGUAGCACAUAAAGCCAUAACAGUUGCGCUGCCAGAGGGUGAAGCUGCCAUUUAAAAGGAACUUGACGCCAAGCUGGGGGAACCUCAGGAAGCUCGGAAAAGGAAAAAGCAGAGCCCAGUACAGCAGGUGUUAUUUUCUCACCUCCUCCUGCGCUGUCCGGUUGUGGGACAGGGAGAAAGCUAUGGGGUUACCUGGGGAGACUGGAAUUUCAGCAGACUAAAGCCCUGAGCAACUUCAUCAGCUGCUGAAGAGGUAUCUGAUGUCAAGGCUGACGGAUCAGAUAACUUCAGGAUUCCUUUUCUGGGAAAAGAAAGUGCUAUGACUGUCAUCUCAGCGGCUUCUUUCACUGUGUUAUGUGAAAGAGGGCUGGUGCUGCUCAGCACUUAGAUAAUUGCCUGAGGAGAGGUUACAUUCCCUUUUUUAAAAAAAGUAGGUGAUCAUUUUGUUGUAAAAGCAAGUUCCUGUAUAUGCAUUUGAUUAGUUUCUGACUUCCUAAAGCUACAACAGCAAAGAGAGCCUUCCUUCUAUGCCAAGAGCCCCUGCUGCAAGUACUUUCUCAACUGUAGAUUUUAUCACUACUACUUCCAGAGUUUGCUACAGAAAACAGAUGUCUUGUGAAGUACUUCAACCUGUUGGGCUCCUGACUGGUCUUACUCCAGAAACUGAAGUUAUUCAAGAGUGGUCUCAUAGCUGUCACAGCUUGCUAUCACUCCAUGAGCUUAAUUCCCAAAGCACAAACCCUUUUGAAACACUGAAAAGUAGCAGCAUGGCUGGCAACUGCACCUCUCAGCACCAGUGAAUGCAAGGAGAAUUAAUUUUUGUCACAACUUUGUGCAAUGAUUGUUUUUCCAGUUUUUUAUAAGUGACAAGACCACUGUAUACAUUAGACUACGGCUGUGUGUUUCUUCCAGGAGAACAAAUGACAAAAGGCCAGAGCGGACAGAGUGAUACUAUCCAGCUGUUGGUGGCCUGCUCGACUGGAUGAGAGUGGGGCUAGAUGGCCCUUAGGCAUCUCUCCAGAACAAAUGAUUCCGUACUUAAAUCAGAUAAUGUUUUAAAAAAAAAAAGGGAUUUUUACUGUUAAAUUAUUUAAUAUAUAAUCAGUAAUGACAAGUUUAGUUAACUGUUUUUCACAAUUUGUAAUACUAGUUAUUAUAUUGCUAUUACUGUUAUAUUCUAUUGUUACACUACAGAUGCUUUCAAGUUGGUUUGGGUAUGUUUGCUGCAUAAAAUCCUGGCUACAAAAGGAAAUCAAAGCUGAACCUUGGUCAAGAUAAUACCUUGUAUAGAAAUAUGCUUACUUGACUCAUCAAAGAAUGUAGAACGAUCGUGCUUUGUAAUGCUUAUGUGAUCACUGUAGUUCUCUACUUCCCCUUCUGCCAUAUUAAAUUUUUUACUACAAGCUACUA